rnacentral:ncRNA from 1 species
AAGAUGUAUGCUCAUGCUCGCUGUCGUCGCAGGGGAAUCCGGUGCGAAUCCGGAACUGUCCCGCAACGGUGUACCCCAGCGUGUUCGCGCACGUAUGGGGCGUCAGUCCGAGGACCUGCCGACAGCACGCCCGGCCG